UACGUAGGGUGCUAGCGUUGUUCGGAAUCAUUGGGCGUAAAGCGCGUGUAGGUGGUUAGGUACGUCGAAUGUGAAAUCCCUCGGCUCAACCGAGGAAGUGCAUCCGAAACUCCCUAGCUAGAGGACGGUAGAGGAAGGUGGAAUUCCAAGUGUAGAGGUGAAAUUCGUAGAUAUUUGGAGGAAUACCGGUGGCGAAGGCGGCCUUCUGGGCCGUUCCUGACACUGAGACGCGAAAGCGUGGGUAGCAAACAGG
rnacentral:rRNA from 1 species